rnacentral:rRNA from 1 species
GUGUCAGCAGCCGCGGUAAUACAGAGGGUGCAAGCGUUAUUCGGAAUUACUGGGCAUAAAGAGCGCGUAGGCGGUUCUAUAAGUCUGAUGUGAAAUCCCUGGACUCAAUUCAGGAAGUGCAUCGGAUACUGUAGGACUAGAGUACAGGAGGGGAGAGCGGAAUUCCUGGUGUAGAGGUGAAAUUCGUAGAUAUCAGGAGGAACAACAGUGGCGAAGGCGGCUCUCUGGACUGUUACUGACGCUGAGGCGCGAAAGCGUGGGGAGCAAACAGGAUUAGAUACCCUGGUAGUCC